CCUACGGGAGGCAGCAGUAGGGAAUAUUGCUCAAUGGGGGAAACCCUGAAGCAGCAACGCCGCGUGGAGGAUGACGGUUUUCGGAUUGUAAACUCCUUUUGAUAGAGAAGUUAAUGACGGUAUCUAACGAAUAAGCACCGGCGAACUCCGUGCCAGCAGCCGCGGUAAUACGGAGGCUGCAAGCGUUACUCGGAAUCACUGGGCGUAAAGAGCGCGUAGGCGGGAUAGCAAGUCAGAUGUGAAAUCCUACGGCUUAACCAUAGAACUGCAUUUGACACUGUUAUUCUAGAGUAUGGGAGAGGUAGGUGGAAUUCGUGGUGUAGGGGUAAAAUGCGUAGAGAUCAAGAGGAAUACUGAUUGCGAAGGUGACCUGCUAGAACAUAACUGACGCUGAUGCGCGAAAGCGUGGGGAGCAAACAGGAUUAGAUACCCCUGUAGUC
rnacentral:rRNA from 1 species